rnacentral:rRNA from 1 species
GACGAACGCUGGCGGCGUGCUUAACACAUGCAAGUCGAACGGAAAGGCCCUGCUUUUGUGGGGUGCUCGAGUGGCGAACGGGUGAGUAACACGUGAGUAACCUGCCCCUGACUUUGGGAUAACUUCAGGAAACUGGGGCUAAUACCGGAUAGGAGCUCCUGCUGCACGGUGGGGGUUGGAAAGUUUCGGCGGUUGGGGAUGGACUCGCGGCUUAUCAGCUUCUUGGUGGGGUAGUGGCUUACCAAGGCUUUGACGGGUAGCCGGCCUGAGAGGGUGACCGGCCACAUUGGGACUGAGAUACGGCCCAGACUCCUACGGGAGGCAGCAGUGGGGAGUAUUGCACAAUGGGCGGAAGCCUGAUGCAGCAACGCCGCGUGCGGGAUGACGGCCUUCGGGUUGUAAACCGCUUUCGCCUGUGACGAAGCGUGAGUGACGGUAAUGGGUAAGGAAGCACCGGCUAACUACGUG